GGUAGCAUAAUCAUUAGUCUUUUAAUUGAAGGCUUGUAUGAAUGGUUGGACAAAGGAAUAACUGUCUCUGUAGUAUAUUUAGAAUUUAACUUUUAAGUGAAAAGGCUUAAAUGGACUAAGGGGACGAUAAGACCCUAUAAAGCUUUAUAUUAAGUUACUUUAAUUUGAUUUAUAAUGUAUAAAAGGUUUAAUUAAUAAUGAUAUUGUGUUGGGGCGACUGAAGUAUAAUUAUAUUUAACUGCUUAAUUUUAUUACAUUAAUAUAUGAUCCUCUUUAGGGAUUAUAAGAUUAAGUUACUUUAGGGAUAACAGCGUUAUUUUUUUUGAGAGUUCUUAUCGAAAAAAGAGUUUGCGACCUCGAUGUUGAAUUAAAAUAUCUAUGUAGUGCAGCAGCUACAUUAGAAGGUCUGUUCGACCUUUAAAUUUUUACAUGAUUUGAGUUCAGACCGGCGUGAG
rnacentral:rRNA from 1 species